AACCCGUUAAGCAAGCCGCCUGGAAAGUACGGCCGCAAGGCUGAAAUUCAAAGGAAUUGGCGGGGAGGCACACAACCAGUGGAACAUGUGGUUUAAUUCGAGACUAACCGAAGAACCUCACCAGGGUUUGACAUGUAGCUGCACGUCUUAAGAAAUUAAGACUCUCUUGAAGGUGCUACACAGGUGCUGCAUGGCUGUCGUCAGCUCGUUCCGUGAGGAGUGCCCUUAAGUGGGACAACGAGCGCAACCCCUAUUACAUGUUAGAAAUGUCAUGUAAGACUGCCUUGCCAUUUGGCGGGGAGGAAGGAGGGGCAGACGUCAAGUCCGCAUGGUCCUUAUGCCCUGGGCUACACACAUGUUACAAUGAGUACGGCAAUGAGUCUGUCGCGAGCACGUAAGUGUAAGCUAAUCUCUUAAAUGUACUCUCAGUGGGGAUUGAGGUCUGCAACUCGACCUCAUGAACACGGAAUUGGUAGUAAUCGCGGGUCAGCUAUGCCGCGGUGAUACGUUCUUGCCUCUUGCACACACCGCCCGUCAAACCAGCAAAGUCGAUUGUAUCCGAACCUCUCUUUU
rnacentral:rRNA from 1 species